AGAACGAACGCUGGCGGCGUGGAUAAGACAUGCAAGUCGAACGCGACUUACCGCGAUAGCAAUAUCAUGGUAAGUUGAGUGGCGAAAGGGUGCGUAACACGUGGGAAUUUACCAAAAAGUGGGGAAUAGCUCGGCGAAAGCCGAAUUAAUACCGCAUGUGGUCGCAAGACCAAAGCCGGGGACCGCAAGGCCUGGCGCUUUUUUGAGAAGCCCGCGGCCCAUCAGCUAGUUGGCGGGGUAACGGCCCACCAAGGCUAUGACGGGUAGCUGGUCUGAGAGGACGACCAGCCACACUGGAACUGAGACACGGUCCAGACACCUACGGGUGGCAGCAGUCGAGAAUUUUUUCACAAUGGACG
rnacentral:rRNA from 1 species